CACCAGACUCCUACGGGAGGCAGCAGUGGGGAAUAUUGCACAAUGGGGGAAACCCUGAUGCAGCGACGCCGCGUGAGUGAAGAAGUAAUUCGCUAUGUAAAGCUCUAUCAGCAGGGAAGAAAAUGACGGUACCUGAGUAAGAAGCCCCGGCUAACUACGUGCCAGCAGCCGCGGUAAUACGUAGGGGGCAAGCGUUAUCCGGAUUUACUGGGUGUAAAGGGAGCGUAGACGGCAGUGCAAGUCUGGAGCGAAAGGCGGGGGCUCAACCCCCGGACUGCUCUGGAAACUGUACGGCUGGAGUGCAGGAGAGGUAAGUGGAAUUCCUAGUGUAGCGGUGAAAUGCGUAGAUAUCAGGAGGAACACCGGCGGCGAAGGCGGCCUGCUGGACCGUGACUGACGUUGAGGCUCGAGAGCGUGGGGAGCAAACAGGAUUAGAUACCCCGGUAC
rnacentral:rRNA from 1 species